UGUUGCUCCAGUCAAGACUUCAGUUCCGUGAUGAAAACACCAUGGCACCUACAAAUAAAAAACAAAAAUUAAGUAGAGAAGAAAUUUU
rnacentral:lncRNA from 1 species